rnacentral:piRNA from 1 species
UGGGGUAGAUCCUGUGAAUGGGUGUUGU